rnacentral:rRNA from 1 species
UAAGGAAUAUUGGACAAUGGAGGCAACUCUGAUCCAGCCAUGCCGCGUGAAGGAAUAAGGCCCUAUGGGUUGUAAACUUCUUUUAGACGGGACAAAACCCCUUUACGUGUAAAGGGUUGAUGGUACUGUCAGAAUAAGCAACGGCUAACUUCGUGCCAGCAGCCGCGGUAAUACGAAGGAUGCAAGCGUUAUCCGGAAUUAUUGGGUUUAAAGGGUGCGUAGGCGGACUAAUAAGUCAGUGGUGAAAGCCUGCAGCUUAACUGCAGAAUUGCCAUUGAUACUGUUAGUCUUGAGUACAGUUGAGGUAGGCGGAAUGUGCCAUGUAGCGGUGAAAUGCUUAGAUAUGACACAGAACACCGAUUGCGAAGGCAGCUUGCUAAGCUGUAACUGACGCUGAGGCACGAAAGCGUGGGGAGCAAAC